AGUUACAAAAGGCUUUGUUUACACAGACAGCCUAAUUCUGAUAUUUUUGACCAAUCAGAUCAGCUCUGAAAAGAUCUGAUGUGAAAAGGUCUGACGUUAUUGGUCAGAAGACCAACUAGUGGAAAAAAGAUCAGAAACGGGCUGCCAGUCUAAACACAGCCUUAAGGAUCAGAGUCAGUAUGUAUAGAUACAAACAUACGAUUGGGACAUUUCAGCUGCCAUACAGUGGGGAGACAUCAACUGAAGGCAGCCAAUCUGAAACUCUACAAUCAAGCAGCAAGUCUCCAAACAAAGUUAUUCACUCAUUGUGGAUUGACAAGAGCUAUCUACAUCUAUCAGACCGCAGAUCUUCCAUCAAGCAGCUAUGUCCAAACUUGGGAGAAAAAGGGAAAUGAAGGUGCGUUAUAAUGACAGAGUUGUAAAGGAGAACUUUUCCAGUGGAGAGCAUAAGAAUAUCGCCUCAUUAAAACAAGAGAAGACCCUUUUAAACGAGGCAGGAAUAGAUAGAUACCUCUCAAAAUACAUAGCACCAUACCCAGAAGCACCAGAGUUCCAUCUGUCCAAAGUUGCCCAUGUCACUACAAAAAGAGGCCUUGAUGGAAUCUUGAAAUCAGGUGGAUUUAAGGGGGGUGAGAAGAGUUUCCUGUGGUGUAAUCUUCCUGUGGAUGAUGACGAUAUCAUUGCAGCAGAACGCCGUUACCUGGAGAAGAUCUUCCCUGACAGAACACCUGAGCAGAGGCAGAUACAGCAACCCUUCCUCAGCAAGUUCACCACCUCACCUGCCUUCAGGAAGGCAUCACGCUUUGGGAACUUCAGGUUCACUUUCAGUCUGUCUGAUUUCCUGAUGAUGUACAGUCAGCAAAUCUGUGGUGGAAAACAGCCUGUCCUGAGAGUGUAUGAGACUGUAGUCUACAAACAAGAGAUCAUGUACACAGUGCUUGUUCACAGUCCAGAUGAUAAGGAAUUUGAGAAGUACCCCAUUCUUGGUGAUGGUAGUGAUGAUGCUCUCUGUGCUUACAUGAGGGGCAACAUUGUCUGGCGUGCACAAGCCAUGUCUGAAACCCAUGCCUUUGGGUUAGCCAUAGAUGAAGUUAACCAAAAUGUAGUAACAGAAGGCGGGGGGAAUGCAUGGUACAUGUGGGACCAUGUGACCCUGGCAUUCCACCUGCCUGAAGGUCAGAUCCUACAUUUUGACAUGAAGAUUGUGAUCAAAAACCUUACUACUUGUGAUGCCGAUGAAAUGUUUAUUGGAGUGAAAUGUCGCAAAAAAGGGCACGAGUGUGUGGGUACAUGUCCAUGUGGAAAAUGUCUCGUACCCCUCGCCACAGCUGAUGAAAUAGUUGAGGGCAUAUCAUGUGAUUACAAAACCAACUGUUGAAGUUUGUCUUUUUCCCUCCAGUAGCUUAUUAAAAAAGUUUAUGAUGAGGGAAAUUCAUUCAAUCAACAGGUGUGGUGUUUUAACUUAAUGCUGUCACAUUUUUUCAGUCAUCUUUUGUCAUAUAAGAUUUAUACCAAUAAUGUAGUUAACCAACAGUUUCAACAAAUUGUGCAUCAUCAUGAAAUGGUGUUGUGUCAUAGUUCUGUAGUCUUUUUCCAUAGCACUCGAGUGUCCCUAGUGAUUAUGUUAAUGUAGGCUCUAGUACCUUUUUGAAAAUGUUUCAUAUUUUUUUCUAAACAUUGUUGUAAUUUCCUUUCCAACCUAUCCCUGGAUAAAGUGAUGAUGCAUCUAAAAAAAAUACUUUGUCUGCUUUGGAAAUAAAUUCCAAGAAUGACGACACAAUCGUUGCCUGGUUUUAUUGUGACCUGCUACAAGAGAUUUAAUUUAAACGGCCUGCUUCAAUUUCCAUCAUCCCAACAAAUGAUCAUGAUAAUGCCUACAAACAUUUCUCUAAAGGGUUUAGUAUUUGAAGAUAGUGUGGUUUAAUAUGUCAGCAAUGACAACUAUUUUUUAACAACC
ensembl:lncRNA